UACGGAGGGUGCAAGCAUUAAUCGGAAUUAUUGGGCGUAAAGGGCGCGUAGGCGGGGAUGUAAGUCAGAUGUGAAAUCCCGAGGCUCAACCUCGGAACAGCAUUUGAAACUGCAUCUCUUGAGGAUAGGAGGAGAAAAUGGAAUUCCACAAGUAGCGGUAAAAUGCGUAGAUAUGUGGAAGAACACCAGUGGCGAAGGCGGUUUUCUAUCUUAUUCCUGACGCUGAGGCGCGAAAGCAAGGGGAUCAAACAGG
rnacentral:rRNA from 1 species